GACGAACGCUGGCGGCGUGCUUAACACAUGCCAGUCGAACGGAAAGGCCUUUUCGGAGGUACUCGAGUGGCGAACGGGUGAGUAACACGUGGGUGAUCUGCCCUGCACUCUGGGAUAAGCCUGGGAAACUGGGUCUAAUACCGGAUAGGACCGCACUUUAGUGUGUGUGGUGGAAAGUUUUUUCGGUGUAGGAUGAGCCCGCGGCCUAUCAGCUUGUUGGUGGGGUAAUGGCCUACCAAGGCGGCGACGGGUAGCCGGACUGAGAGGUUGGUCGGCCACAUUGGGACUGAGAUACGGCCCAGACUCCUACGGGAGGCAGCAGUGGGGAAUAUUGCACAAUGGGCGCAAGCCUGGUGCAGCGACGCCGCGUGGGGGAUGACGGCCUUCGGGUUGUAAACUCCUUUCGCCAGGGACGAAGCGUUUUGUGACGGUACCUGGAGAAGAAGCACCGGCUAACUACGUG
rnacentral:rRNA from 1 species